AUGCUGGAGUUGUCUGCCUUUGUGUGUGUUCUGAUCGCUAAACACCUUAUGUUCUGUUAUGGAGACUUUGUUUAUUGUGACAGAAUUUUGGAUGAGGUCACAUUGUGCGUUGCAUCAUACAUAUGAAACUGACACUGGAAAAACCAUGAGGAUUUUUUACACAGGUGGAAGGAAUGGCACACAAAUGUCCCUUGUCUGGUUUUUGAUCAUCUCCACGCUACAGCUCAUGCUGUUGGACAUGCGCUCCAUGUUGGUGGAGAUAUUGGACACUGGCCCACUGACCAGGGCUGCCAGGAGGAGGGAGUAGAGCACCCACCGCCCGUACUUACCCAGGAGCUCGGGGACCAGGAUACAGAUGAUGCACCGGCAUGCCACAGAGAGACUCAUCCCAAUCAGCAGCAGGAGGGCCAUCGGACCGGCGAUGUACACGGAGAGGAGGAACUCUAUGCCAUAGAAGUACCAGAGGAUCCCCAGGAGGGCACCCCCGGCCAGUAGUCCCCCUAGGGCCCCAUAUAGGCCGCUCAGGAGGUGUUUGUGCCCCAGAGUGGGCGUCGGGUCCUGUGGUACAGCUGUGGCCCCACGGUCUACGAUUCCUCCCACAUGGGCCACGCCCGGUCCUUCAUUUCUAUUGACAUCCUGCGGAGAGUCCUACAGGACUAUUUCAAUUAUGAGGUCUUCUAUUGCAUGAACAUCACAGAUAUUGACGACAAGAUCAUCAAAAGAGCUCGCCAGAACUACCUAUAUGAGCAGUACCUCACUAAGAACCUGGCUCUUUCCAAGAUCUUGGAAGACGUUGAGUCUGCUAUGAAGCCAUUUAUUGUAAAACUGGAAAAAGAGGAAGACCCAGACAAAAAAGGCAUGUAUGUAAAAAUCAAGGCCAAAGUUGAGAAAGCCCUGUCUGAGGUCAAGGCCAGUCAAGAUGAAGGUCAAAGUAGAGAGAGACUGUGUGUAGAUGGGAAGGAUGUGCUCUGUGAUUGGUUGGAUAAAACUCAUGGGUCAGAAGUCACAGACAACUCCAUUUUUGCCAGACUUCCUCAGUUUUUUGAGGAAGACUUUCACAAAGACAUGGAAUCUUUGAAUGUUUUGCCAGCAGAUGUCCUGACUCGGGUCAGUGAGUACGUCCCAGAAAUUGUUGAGUACAUCAAGAAGAUCAUGGACAAUGGAUACGGGUACGAGUCCAAUAGGUCUGUAUACUUUGACACGGCCGCCUUCGAUGCAGCAGAGGGUCACAGUUACGCCAAGAUUGUCCCGGAGGCUUAUGGGGACAAGGCUGCCCUGAAUGAAGGAGAGGGAGAACUGACGGUGUCUGCAGAGAGACAGGAGGAGAAGAGGAACCCGACUGACUUUGUCCUGUGGAAGGCCUCCAAGCCUGGCGAACCCUCUUGGGACUCGCCCUGGGGAAAGGGACGACCUGGCUGGCACAUUGAGUGCUCUGUCAUGGCCAGCAGUAUACAAGGAGAAUCUCUGGAUAUCCACACGGGAGGAUUCGAUCUCAGAUUCCCUCACCAUGAUAACGAGCUCGCUCAGGCAGAGGCUUACUUCAACAAUGAUCACUGGGUGAGGUAUUUCUUGCAUGCUGGCCAUCUGACCAUCGAAGGCUGCAAGAUGUCCAAAUCUCUCAAGAAUUUCAUCACCAUUAAAGAUGCACUGAAGAAGCAUACCGCGCGACAGUUACGUCUGCUAUUCCUGCUCCAUCAGUGGAAGGAUACGCUGGAUUAUGGUGAAAACAGCAUGGAGAUUGCCAUCCGAUACGAAAAGAUGGUCAACGAGUUCUUCCUGAAUGUGAAGAACUUACUGAGGACGACCCCAGGAACUGGGGUCGCAGCCUUUGAGAAGUGGAACCCCGAGGAUGUGGAGCUCAACAAAAAAUACCUACAGACAAAGGACGCUGUGCAUGAGGCUCUCUGUGAUAACGUCAACACAAGGACAGCUCUAGAAAGCUUGAGGGAGUUGAUAGGAGAGGCAAACAUCUACAUGGCCAAUGCCCGGGGUGCCAAUAGGACCCCCAACAGGAUGAUCCUCAAGAACAUCGCCAGCUACAUCACGUAUCUACUGAAGGUCAGUGUUUGGAGCUAUUGAAGUGGAGGAAGAGAUUGGAUUCCCGCAGUCUACAACACAGAAUGUUAAUAUCGAGGAAGCAGUGAUGCCUUUCCUGUCGGCCUUUGCACAGUUCAGAGAGGACGUCAGGACAAUAUCAAGGGAACAGAAAGCCACAGGAAUCUUGAAACUCUGUGACGAGUUGAGAGAUGAUGUAUUACCCAAUCUUGGGGUGCGACUUGAGGAUGGGAUCUCCCCUCCUACAAUCAAACUUGUCGACAGAGAUACUCUGAUGAAAGAACGGGAAGAAAAACUCAAGAAAGAGGAGUUGAAGAGACUUGAAAAAGAGAAGAAAAAACAGGAAAUGGAAGCAAAGUUAGCUCAGGAGAAAAUUCCACCAUGGGAGCUCUUCAAGAAAGAAACUGACAAAUAUUCCCAGUUUGAUGAUAAGGGAAUUCCCACACAUGAUGCAGAGGGAAAAGAAAUAUCCAAAGGACAGAUCAAGAAACUAACCAAGCUUUACGAGAAGCAGGAAAAGAGUUACAACAAGCACAUGGGGAUCACCGGAAAGGAGGGUGGCUCCUAAUUGCCCUGCCCCUUCCUCCCACCAGUGGUGAAAGGACCUCAUUAUUUAUUUGUUUCUAAUCAAUCAAUAUAUACACUCAAUCUUUAUGUUUGUGUGUCAGAUUUCAUUGUGGUAUUUAGUGUGAAACCAAAAACCACGUGUUAUUUUUAAGAUGAACUUUGGAAGUUUUUGCCCUCAAAGACCUAGUUUUCAAUGCUCUUAUGAAGAAUUUCAUUUGAGAAAAAAAUGCUUUAGAAGGUGAUUAAUGUGUUAAAGUUUAUAUGUAGAUGAAAAAUUGAAGACAUAGUGAAAUUAAAAAAGAAUUGCAAGGAACAUUUAUAGCAAUAUAUAUAAGCUGAUGCUGUAUAGUCAUUCUGAUUUUUAAAAAAAUAUCCUGUUUUAUAUUGUAGCUAAUUCUAACAGUCAAUCAUUGUUAUUAUUGUGUUUUAUAUCAGUCUGUUGGCGUGUAUGAUAAUUUAAGACACUGACAUUAGUUUGAAUUAAGAGAUGGAUGUGGUUUAUGUGUUGUAUGCUCAUGCAUGAACAUAUUUUUUUAUUACUUUCUCUAAAACAAAAUUUUCUGAGUAGUCUCUUUUACAUGUUUAGGCAUUUGACCUUAAAAAUAAAUACGUCAUCAAACAGAUUUGCAUCAGAUCGAGUAUAAAUUUUGUGAAAUCUAUGUAUUUCUGCUGCAAAAUAGUAGAUGUCAAACAUUUACUGUAGUGACUAAAUGUUCAUGAAUGGAAAUGCUUGUUAAUAUAAUUAAACAUGGUUUCAGGCAUCAGUCAUUAAAAGUAUUACUGUG
rnacentral:misc_RNA from 1 species